rfam:Bacillus gaemokensis strain JCM 15801 contig75, whole genome shotgun sequence.
UAUGUCAACGGUAAGCGGACGAACGAAGCAAAGCGAAGUGAAGGAGCAUUAAGGAGUUGACAUAUUUACUACA